UGGACUUGUGGUUAAAACACCAGGCUACUAACCUGAAGGUCACAGGUUCGAGCCCG
rnacentral:tRNA from 11 species